AAAGUUUCAACAAGAGCGUACGGGGGAUGCCUUGACUGACAAAAGCGAAGAAGGACGUGGCAAUGCUGCGAUAAGCUCGGGACAGAUGCAUAGCAAUCGUUAUUAUCCCGAGAUCUCCGAAUGGGGAAACCCUACAGAGUAAACCUCUGUAAUCUUUUAUACAUAAGUGAUAAAAGAAGCGAACCUAGGGAAGUGAAACAUCUCAGUACCUAGAGGAACAGAAACUAAAAAAAGCAUUUCGCAAGUAGCGGCGAGCGAAAACGAAGAAGCCCAAACCCAUGAAAUUUUAUUUUUUGGGGGUUGUAGGAUAUAAAUGUCUUAACGAGUGUAGUCAAAAAUUAUUUUGUUAGAAGAACAAGCUGGGAAGCUUGACCAUAGAAGGUAAUAGUCCUGUAAACGAAAACAUUAUAACUACAUUAUUUAUAUUCCUGAGUAGCCCAGGACAUCAAUAGCCGGGGUGAAUCUAGCAGGACUAACUGCUAAGGCUAAAUAUUUUGUCAGAUCGAUAGUGAACAAGUACCGUGAGGGAAAGGUGAAAAGAACCCCGGAAGGGGAGUGAAAUAGACCUGAAACCGUAUGCUUACAAGGAGUCAGAGCGGAAUUUAUUCCGUCAUGGCGUGCCUAUUGAAGAAUGAGCCAACGAGUUUGUGUAUGCAGCAGCUUAAGUUACUUUGUAACGCAGGCAAAGGGAAACCGAGUGUUAAUAGCGCGAAAUUAAGUUGUAUACAUAAGACCCGAAGCUGAGUGAGCUUGCCAUGAGCAGGUUGAACCUUAUUGAAAAAUAAGGGGAGGACCGAACCCACGCGCGGGCAACACGCGGGGAUGACUUGUGGUAAGGAGUGAAAAGCUAACCGAACUCAGUAAUAGCUGGUUCUCUCCGAAACAGUUUUAGGACUGGCGUUGAAUGUUCCUGGUGGGGGUAGAGCACUGGAAGGAAAAGAUAGGGGGAAACCUCGCUUUUCCUAUCAAACUCCGAAUACCAUUCAGUUAAUAAUUCAGCAGUUAGACUCAGGGGGCGAAGCUCCUGUGGUCGAAAGGGAAACAGCCCAGACCUAAACCUAAGGUCCCUAAAUAUAUACUAAGUGCACUUAAGGUGGUUUUAUUUCUUAAACAUCCAGGAGGUUGGCUUAGAAGCAGCCAUCCUUUAAAGAUAGCGUAACAGCUCACUGGCCAAGAGAUUUAGCGCCGCAAAUGAUCGGGGCUCAAGUAUAUUACCGAAGGUUAGGAUUUUAUAUCUUAUUUAUAAUUUAUAAAGUGGUAGGAGAGCGUUCUGUUCUGCAAUGAAGCCAAAGGCGUAAGCCAUGGUGGAGCGUACAGAAGUGAGAAUGUUGGCACGAGUAACCGCAAGGAGGGUGAGAACCCCUCCCGCCGAAAUACCAAGGGUUCCUUUUCAAUGCUUGUCAGAGAAGGGUUAGUCGGUCCUAAGCCGAUGGCGAAAGCCGUAGGUGAUGGAGAUAGGGUUAAUAUUCCCUAACUUCUAUAUUUUUCGAUGGAGUGACGGAGGAAAUAGGUCAAAGCACAUUAUUGGAUUUGUGUUUCUGCUGAUGAGAUUUGUAUUUUAGGAAAAUCCGGAAUACACAAGAAUCGUUCAGUGGAUAGUAAUUUUGAACAAGAGCCUUCCAAGAAAAACUUCUAAGGUUAAAUUUAUAGAAACCGUACCCGAAACCAACACAGGUGGUAUAGUCGAGAAGACUAAGGCGAACGAGUGAUUAAUCCUCAAGGAACUCGGCAAAAAAGCAGCCGUAACUUCGGGAUAAGGCUUGCCUACUCAACUUCGGUUGAGAGGCCGCAGCGAAAGACACCCUGCCGACUGUUUAUCAAAAACACAGCUCCGUGCGAACUCGUAAGAGGAUGUAUACGGGGUGACGCCUGACCAAUGCCGGAAGGUUAAAUAUUGGCGGUGAUUAAAUUUUUAAUUUGAUUGCUGAUUGAUAUAAGCCCCGGUCAAUGUCGGCCGUAACUAUAACGGUCCUAAGGUAGCGAAAUUCCUUGUCGGGUAAGUUCCGACGUGCACGAAUGGCGUAACGAGUGGGGUACUGUCUCGAGGAUUAGCUCGGUGAAAAUGCAAUGCCGGUGAAGACGCCGGCUACCUGCAGUGGGACGAAAAGACCCCAGGAGCUUUACUACAGCUUGAUAUUGGGCUUAUGUGAAUUCUGCGCAGCAUAGGUGGGAGACUUUGAGCAUACGAUUUUGGUUGUAUGUGAGUCGUCAGUGAGAUACCACCCUUAAUUUGCGUAAGUUCUAACCUUCAAGGCAAAAACUUGAAGGAACAGUAUCUGGUAGGUAGUUUUAGUGGGGCGCUACCCUCCUAAAGAGUAACGGAGGGGCUUAAAGGUUAGUUAGGCGCGAAUGGAAACCGUGCCGAUAGUGUAAUGGCAUAAACUAGCUUAACUGCAACGGGUACGUCCGGAGCAGAUACGAAAGUAGAACAUAGUGAACCGAUGGUAGGUUUUAGAUACUGCCGGAGAUUAACGGAUAAAAGCUACCCUGGGGAUAACAGGCUGGUAUCGCCUAAGAGUUCAAAUCGACGGCGAUGUUCGGCACCUCGAUGUCGGCUCAUCCUAUCCUGGGGCUGGAGAAGGUCCCAAGGGUUUGGCUGUUCGCCAAUUAAAAGGGUACGCGAGCUGGGUUCAGACCGUUGAGUACAGAAUAUUUUAUAUUGUGUACUCAACAAAUCUGAACCCCAUUGAGAGUUAUCGAUACCAAAAUCAUAAUAUUGUAGCAUUUAUCAAAAUAUUAAGUCUUUUCGUUUUUAAACACACAAACAAUUAAAAUAAUAAUCAUUUACAAAUUUAUCAUUUACCAAGAUAAAUUUGACAUUCACGGCGGUCUGGAAGAGUAAUCUUCUAAGAAUAAAUUUAGCUUAUAUCGGAAAAGUCCUACUUAAAAACUUUAAAUUUUUAAGGGAUAAUUCCGAGGGAACUUUGCUUGCAAAGACCCGUAGAGACUAAGCGCUAAAGUCCAUUAAAUUGGAAUAAACUAUAGUCCGUACACAUAGUAAUAUGUGAAAAGGUAUGCGUGAGACAGGUUGGUUAUUAUCUACUGCAGGCGUCGAAUUUUGAGAAGAUCUGCCCCUAGUACGAGAGGACCGGGGUGGACUGACCUCUGGUGUACCAGUUGUUCCGCCAGGAGCACUGCUGGGUAGCUAUGUUGGGAAUGGAUAAGUUCUGAAAGCAUCUAAGAACGAAGCCAACUUCGAGAUUAAAAUUCAUUUGAAAUCCCUGAGAGAUGAUCAGGUUGAUAGGCUUUAAGUGUAAGUACAGAAAUGUAUUUAGCUGAGAAGUACUAAUUCAUUGAGAAAUUUU
rnacentral:rRNA from 1 species